rnacentral:lncRNA from 1 species
UUGAAAAGUCUUUUAGUGUGAAGAAAAGGAAAGAUGACUUCUCUGGCAUCUCACUUCCUCAGUCAGCAGCUUCAUUUUACAAUGGGUGGUCGCCAGUGAUGGAAGUUUCUGAAUCAUGUGAAAGCAUAGAACAGCUCAAUGUUUAUCUGAAAUCCAAAAGGGAUGAUGUUAAUGCAGGGGUCCCUGGAAGAUUUCUGCAUGUUGUGAUAGGAAAAGAUGUUUCAGGUGAUACUUUCGACUGACUCUUAUUUUACUAUUCUUUGUAGAUCUCUUAAUGUCUAUGAUAUACUUUAGGACAUCCUAUGUGCUAACUUUCUUUCUAAUCUUAAUUCAUCUGAAGUUUUGCAUGCAUUUCUUUUAUAUGAUAAUGUUGGUAUACCUUGAUGGUAUUAUGGAGACUUUGAAGAUAUUCAACUAUAGGUUUCUCAAUGGUGCUUUGUGAUUUAACUUGAUUAUGAUUUUGAUGGUUUCAAACUGUUUGGUUGAUUAAUUUGUUGAAAAUAAAAACAUCACUGUGCAGCAAAUUGACCUGAUGGAAGAACAAAAACCUACUCUUUAUUUAUGUGUACUAGUUCAGUGUAAAUUGAAAGGAAACUUGAGUUCUGUUUAUUUCAUUUCAAGACAGGAAAUAGAAAUCACCUAACUUUUAUAUAGAUUUCUUUUGGCUACCUAAUUUAGUGGAAAAACUUUUAAAAUAGAUGAUACAAAUGAGAUGGUAAAAAUUAACUUCGGAAAAUGGGAAAUUGGGUUAACGUUGAGUUUUGUAAGUUAAAAUAAAAUAAAAUCUGUAGGUACCGCCAUUUCUUUCUACAUCUAACUUCAAGAGCUUCUCUUAAUCUGUCUGCUUGGAUGUGUCGCUAUUUCAGCAAUGCUAAAUAGCCCAAUUUCUUUGUAUAUAUGAGAGAUACAGCAGCACCAAUUUUUCUUUUUGUCUGUUGUACCUGAGACCAUACAAAUAGCUAAUUGAAGAUCAUAUUGAAGAACACAAUGAUUAAUACAACUUCAUAUAAAUCAUGAUAUCUUUUUAUUCAUCUCUAAAAAAGCUCGUUACACUUACCAAAUAAUUUUGAAGAUUGCUUUACUGAAUUUUCUAUUUGUUUAUUUCAAAAACUCCAGUAGAUUUCAGAUAGAACCUAAUAUAGAUCUAAUUUAUUUUCUGGCUUCAUACAGAUAUUGGGUCAGUUGUGUCUACUAUCAUGUAUGCUUUCUACUUGAAUGAGACACGCAAAUAUGAUGAGUUUUGCACUGUACCUGUUAUCAACAUGAAGAGAACGGACCUAAAUUCUCAUUCUGAACUUAAAUGGCUGCUUGAUUCCUGUCAGAUCGAUACGUCAUCUUUGAUUUUUGUAGACGAGGUUUAGUCCUUUGCAAUCUUUCUGAAGAUUAUUAUCCGGUUUUCAUUUAUUUUUAAUGUUAUUUAUUUAUGAUACUCUUAACUCUACAAUGAAGGCUAUGAUAACUUGAGAAAGGUGUUAGUUAAUACGUGUCUUUUCAAUUUUGUUUCCUAGUUUGUUACAAUUUCAAUAUAUUCUAUUUUACUAACUAGAAAGAAUGCCCCUAUCAGCCUGAAACCACCCCGCAAAUAUAUAUAUUUUUUAUUUAAUUUUUUCUCAACAGUAUCUCAAAGCUACUUUGAUUUUUUCAACAGUUAUUUUUUAUUUUUUCUUUAAGAGUGAAAUCCAGUUUCAAUCAAUCUAUCUAUCUUUACAUAACAUGAUGUAAGCUCUAUGACCAUCCAAUAUUGGUUUAUAUGAAUAAGCUUAUGCUGUACGUAAGCAUGAAAGGUGUAACCAAUGAUCUAGUAAACAAUAUAUGCUAGCAGAUAUGUUCUUUGAGCUUUGAUUCAGAAGUGUCACUGAUUUUAAUAUGGUCUACAAAAUAUUUUCCCAGAUCGACCUAUCAUAUUAUGAAUUAUUUGGAAGUCUUAAGGUAGUUCUACUGAACAGCUCCAAACUUCCUGCUAAACAAGAGGUAAGCUUUACAUUUGGCAACGGUUUGACAACUUUGUUUCCGAAAAAUCUGUUGGUUACCAAUACUUAUGAAAUGUCCAUUUCUUUUUUUCUUACAACAGCAAGCACUAAAAGAGGCUGUUGUUGAAAUCUUUAACUGUAAUAAGGUGCGCAGAAUCAUUUCUUUUGGUUACAAUUGAAGGAUUUUAGCUACUUCCAAACAUCUCGAAAUCACGAGAAACUAACCAUUCAUAUAUUUUCCUUUUAUCUUACAGGAUGAAUCUAUAUAUCCUUGGGUCGAGAAUAUUACAAUCCAACAGGUUUGGCAUUUGUAUAGUUUUAUGAUUUUUUUUUCUUCGCCUCAUAUUUCUACCUAAAGUUAUCAAGUCCAUCGAAUAGAACAUUUGUUCAGACACGUCAUGCCACUAAAAAAAAUAAAGAGUAGUAAAGAACACACACGGAACACGAAGGCAUUGAAAGGUCUUAGAUGAUAUAAUUAGAUUUACCAAUAUCUUAAGCUUUCGGGUCAAUCGCCGAUUUAAGAUGAUAUUAGAGUAGGUUGGUUCGAGAGGUCCUUUGUUGAAACCCAAGCUUUCAACUGUAUGAGUUCGUUUAGUUCCUUUGGUGAAAACUGGCCUAGUAAACAGUCUUCUGAAAUUAUGGUUCACUAUAUUUCUUAGCUGAGAUCACUUUUGUAAAACAGGGCUGUUCAUGCUGCACUCUAAUUGCCGAGAAGUUUGCUCAAAUUUCACCCGAGAUUCUGGCUGGGAAAGGAUUCAGUAGACUUUUGGUACUUACUACUUGCGACAAUUACUUUUGACUUCAUCCAUGCAUGUAUAUUUUGAAGGCCUGAUCCAAAAACUUUUGGGAGAGCUGUUUUCUUCCAUGUGCAAUUCCCAUCAACAUUAGAUACAAAGCUGAUCCCCUAGCUAGUUCUGCGUGUAUUUUACACUUACCUCAACCUCAGCUUUUAAAUAUUCGUCUUCUCGUAGUGUUAUCUUACAUUCUCUACUGUUAUGGAAGGAAGUUCAUACAUCUGUGCACACACUUACAUUUAAUUCCACAUACGAAACUGGAAUUGGAGAGUGAAAAUCAUGCUCUCAUAUUCCAUUUCACAUUGAUUCCUAAAGUAGUUAAGGAAUGGAAAUAAUUCCCAGGACCCACCAAAAUUUCUAACCAUUCUCGUCGAUUCAUUUCUCUUGGUAAGGAAAACAAUGUAUUUUCCAUUCCAGCAAGUCCCAUAAUUUAUUUAUUAUUUUUUUUUUCUUUCUAUGUGUGGUCCCAGAUUAAUUGAAUUUAAUAUUCAUUUGAAGCAUCAGUAAAUAAUAACAUUUGUUGCCUUCUUCAUUCCAAUUCCAAUUCCAAAAAAAAUAUGUUAUAUACAAUAUUUGACAUUUCAUUUCCAUUCAGACAACUCUGCGUUCUUCUUUAUUCCCACUCCCAUUUCAUAGAUGGUGUCUUGUUCUGCCCCCCUAAAUGUUUCUAUGAUCAUGAAGCAUAAAAACUAUGCAGAAUUUGAAAAGCUUCCAACAAUUUUCAAUUUUUUUUAUAACUUGACUUUAACUUUAGAAGUAUUACACGCUUGGACAUCUUUCUUCCUUCAAAGUUUUCCUUCUUGAUAUACUUGAGGUUAGCUUCAGAGUUGAUUGUUUUCCUAGUUCUGUAGGUUUCUCGUUUUCCUUUUCUAAAACGAACUCUUUUGGUGUGUUUUCUUUUCCUUGCAGCUAGCUGGAAUUCUAUUAGAUUCAGGAAACCUAACUAGCCCAAAUUGUACGUCCAAAGAUAAGUACAUGGCUACUUUGUUGAUCAAUGGUGCUGGUCGAUUUGGAUGCAAUGGUUUUUAUCAGUUAUGUAUGUCUAUGUUUCGGUUCUUUCCUAUCUUUCUUGUUCAAUUACCAAACUAUUAUUACUUUUUAUAUAAUAAAAAAUUGGUAUCUACAGUGAAAUUCAAAAUGUACAAUGUGUCCAACCAUGGGGUAAUUGAUCUAGUACUCAAGGAUUUCAAGAAGUGGACAAAAGGUGGGGACUUGACUUUUGUUUUGUCAUUUUCUUGUAUAUUUACUUAGGUACUCUUAAGGCAGUUCAAUCUCUUCAAAAUUUAAUGAAAAAUUUAGAUUUCAUGCAAUUCAUUUUCCUUUUAUGCAGGGACCACACCCUCUUAGGUUAUUUUUUUCCUGUGUUAAAUUCUAUUGACACAGAAUUAGUAUGAAAGAUAGGUGGUGAGUGAACUCUUUCUUUUUGUAGUAUAUGAUUAUGAAAUUACAUGGGGCCUUGAGGCCUUGUAGUAGGAACCUCAAAUUAUGUAUCCUACUUCUGAUCCAUGAGGAAGACAUCGCAUACCCUCACCUUCCUCAAUUAUCAAAGAGGCAAUCAAUAAUUAAAACUAGCGUUGCCUCCACGUUCCCUUCUGUGCCUAACCUUAUUCUCUUUUGAUCCCAGUUACUAAAGCAGUGAAGAAAAUGCAAUGCCAUUUCAUCAUAUUCAAUGAAAAAUCACAUACUUCGCUUGUUACAAUUAUAUCUUUAGUCUGGAGACUUGAAGAAUAAAUAAAUGUAGUCUAUUGUUAAAUCAACAAUUUGCUUUUGUAUCAGCGAUCAGUUUAUGCAAUUCUUUCUUAUGUCUACGUUUAUGAAACUAUUUUGUAAGUAUGAUAUUUAGUGGUAUUAUAUUUCAUGUUUUUUCUACUAAUAAUUUGCUGUAAGUAUUGAUACUUGAGCAUAGUGACCUCACUGACCUGUGUAGAUGCAAUUCAAGGUAUCUUUCUGAUUCAUAGUUCGUUCUGGAAUUUUUAAUCCAGGAUCCUUGGACAAUUCUGGAAAGAGAUUGACGAAGCUAGAUCUUGGGCUGAGUUCCAUUGGAAUAUCAAUUGCUCAAUUUCUUUCACUGGAAGUUAACUCAACUCAAGACAUAAAAAACUUUCUACGUAAGUAUUUGAAAUUUGAAUAAGAUGUCAUUAUUAUACUUCCUGUUUGUGUGUCCUCUUUAUAUCUCAUUAGUUUUUCUUCUUUUUUUGUUUCUUUCAGUUUCUAUAUUCUCUUGAAGGAUAAGAUAAUGAAUUUUUGAACAUUAGUCUCUUUUCAUUUUAUCGAUGAAAAGUUAUGUUUCUUUUUUUUAAAAAAAAAAACCAUUCUGACAAAAAUAAUCUCACAAAAUAAAAGCACAAGCCCCACUAAAAAUAGGGUUUCCAACUGGAUAAACUAUUGGCAAGAGAGUAAUUGUAAAAAAUCUUUGACUGAAGCUCAAAGAAAAACGUGAAACCUCAUCAAAGACUUCAUUGGGUCCCUCUCCACACCCCGAAGAACUCUAGUAUUCCUCUUCACCCAAAGAUCUCACAACCUCCACGAAACCAAGAAAAUGACAUUUCUCUUUGAAACGCGAAUAGAGGAGGAACUCCCUGUUCAUCAAUCAAAUAUCUGUCUGAGGAUCAAGCAAAAGAUCAAACUCCUGCAAUAAUUAUUUUUUCAUUUUUUUCUCAAUGAAAACAGUUGUUAACUAAUAACAACAGCAGCAGCAGCAACUACUUACUUUCACAUCUUUCAAGUAUAAUAUUUUCAGCUCCUUUUGGAGAUCAGCCCGACAUCUUUCAAGAUGUUGAUUUAUUAACAUCGUUCAAGCAACUUUUAUUAUUUUCUUAUUCAGGUGUGGAGAAACUGCAGCUACUUGUGAUUGUUUCU